UACGAAGGGUGCAAGCGUUACUCGGAAUUACUGGGCGUAAAGCGUGCGUAGGUGGUUUGUUAAGUCUGAUGUGAAAGCCCUGGGCUCAACCUGGGAAUUGCAUUGGAUACUGGCAGGCUAGAGUGCGGUAGAGGAUGGCGGAAUUCCCGGUGUAGCAGUGAAAUGCGUAGAGAUCGGGAGGAACACCGGUGGCGAAGGCGGCGAUCUGGGUCGAUACUGACGCUGAGGUGCGAAAGCGUGGGGAGCAAACAGG
rnacentral:rRNA from 1 species